rnacentral:rRNA from 1 species
CCUACGGGGGGCUGCAGUGGGGAAUAUUGGACAAUGGGGGCAACCCUGAUCCAGCCAUGCCGCGUGUGUGAAGAAGGCCCUCGGGUUGUAAAGCACUUUCAGUGAGGAAGAACGCCUGGUGGUUAAUACCCAUCAGGAAAGACAUCACUCACAGAAGAAGCACCGGCUAACUCCGUGCCAGCAGCCGCGGUAAUACGGAGGGUGCGAGCGUUAAUCGGAAUUACUGGGCGUAAAGCGCGCGUAGGUGGCUUGAUAAGCCGGUUGUGAAAGCCCCGGGCUCAACCUGGGAACGGCAUCCGGAACUGUCAAGCUAGAGUGCAGGAGAGGAAGGUAGAAUUCCCGGUGUAGCGGUGAAAUGCGUAGAGAUCGGGAGGAAUACCAGUGGCGAAGGCGGCCUUCUGGACUGCCACUGACACUGAGGUGCGAAAGCGUGGGUAGCAAACAGGAUUAGAUACCCCGGUAGUC